UCGGAUAUGGUGUAACGGCUAACAUUGCCGCCUCUCAUUUGUUUCGCGGCAGCUCGGGGUUCGAUUCCCCGUAUCCGAA